rnacentral:rRNA from 1 species
UACGUAGGGGGCUAGCGUUGUCCGGAAUCAUUGGGCGUAAAGCGCGUGUAGGCGGUCCGGUAAGUCCGCUGUGAAAGUCGGGGGCUCAACCCUCGGAUGCCGGUGGAUACUGUCGGGCUUGAGUACGGAAGAGGCGAGUGGAAUUCCUGGUGUAGCGGUGAAAUGCGUAGAGAUCCGGAAGAACACCAGUGGCGAAGGCGGUUAGCUGGGCAGUUGCUGACACUGAUGCGCGACAGCGUGGGGAGCAAACAGG